CAUCAAUAAGAUUGUCAAAAUAAGUUUCUAGGAACUUAGCUGUUAAUCAGUGAAAAGAGACAAAAUACUUAAGGAUAAAAUUGAUCGCAUUACAUUACAAUUACAUUACAGAUAAGUGCAUAUAACAGAGGGUGGACUUAUUACAUGGCUAAGGGCUUCUAAAUGCUAGCAGUGGCGCAGUUGUAGAAUGUUUUUGUGAGUGUACACUGGGGUAGUGUGGGCCUAAAUAAACACGUAUGUUUGUGCUCUAUCUAGGGGAUUAUCAGUCUCAGACAUCUGCGUGAGCUGCAUCUGGGAGAGCUAUGUUUCUGAAUCUUUCUUGGUCUAUCAUAUAUCAUAUAUGAGUGUACAUUAGUCAAACGGUUCACUCACCAUCACCAAGAUGGAACUUUAAUGCUAUCUCUUAUGUCAUUGCUGUUUCAAAAACCUCAGACUCAGGAUCAGGAAUCAGGAAUCAGAAGAAAAUAUUAAUGAUAACUUCAUCCUCAAGCACAAUGGACAAAGCUAUAGAUGUACCUAAUUCUUCAGCAAAAAUGUACAGUUAUGAGAUCUUGACAUCUAUGGUUCUUCAUUGUUCAGGACACAGCUGAAGUAUUACCUUUCCCAAGAGAUCUUACAUGACAAUAACCACCCCUGUCCUAUGUUUUGGUAUCAAGAUGAAGCUGACCUCAUAGAAUGAGUUGAAGAGUAGUCCCUCCUCCUCACUUUCUUGGAACAGUUUCUGUAGGAAUGGAACCAGCUCUUCUUUGUACAUCUGGUAGAAUUUGGCUGUGACUCCAUCAGGUCCUGGGCUUUUUUUUUUUUUUGGUUGGUAGGCUAUUUAUUACUGAUUCAAUUUUGGAGCCCAUCAUUGGUCUGUUCAGGGAAUCAAUUUCUUCCUGGCUCAGUCUUGGGAGGGUGUGUGUGUCCAGGAAUUUAUCAGUCUCUUCUAGAUUUUCUAGUUUGUGUGCAUAGAGGUGUUUAUAGUAGUUUCUGAUGGUUGUCUUUAUAUCUGUUGGGUCAGUGGUACCAUUCCUUUCAUCAUUUUUAAUUGUGUUUAUUUGGAUCUUCUCUUUUGUCUUCUUUAUUAGCCUAGCUAGUGGCAUAUCUAUUUUAUUAAUUUUUUCAAAAAACCAAUUCCUGGAUUUGUUGAGAUCUCUACAAUAAGCAUUACAAAACACUGCUGAAAGAAAUCAGAGAAGACACAAACAAAUGAAAAAAACAUCUCUUGCUCAUGGAUAGGAAGAAACAAUGUUAUUAAAAUGGCUAUACUGCCCAAAGUAAUUUACAGAUUCAUUGUUAUUCCUAUCAAACUGCCAACAAUAUUCCUCAAAGAACUAGAAAAAACUAUUUUAAAAUUCAUAUGGAACUAAAAAAGAGCCUUAAUAGCCAAGGCAAUCCUAAACAAAAAGAAAAAGCUGGAGGCAUCACGCUACUUGACUUUAUGCUACAAGGCUACAGUAGCAAAAACACCCAUGUUUCUGGUACAAAAACAGGUGCAUAGACCAAUGGAACGGAAUAAAGAGCCCUGAAAUAAUGCCGCACAUCUCCAACUAUCUAGUCUUUGACAAAGCUGACAAAAACAAGCAAUGGGGAAAUGACUCUUUAUUCAAUAAAUAGUGCUGGGAUAACUGGCUAGUCAUAUGCAGAGGAUUGAAGUUGGACACUUUCCUUACACCAUACACAAAAAUCAACUCAAGGCAGAUUAAAGACUUAAAUAUAAAUCCGAAAACUAUAAAAACCUUGCAAAACAACCUAGUCAAUACCAUCCUGGAUGUAGGAAUGGGCAAAUAUUUCAUGACAAAGACACCAAAAGCAAUCACAACGAAAGCAAAAAUUGACAAGUGGAAUCUAAUUAAACUUAAGAACUGCACAGCAAAAGACACUAUCAACAGAGUAAAUAGACAACCUACAGAAUGGGAGAAAGUAUUAGCAAACUAUGCAUCUGACAGACAAAGGUCUAAUAUCUAGCAUCUAUAAGGAUCUUAAACAAAUUUACAAGAGAAAAGCAAACAACCCUAUUAAGAAGUGGGCAAAGGACAUGAACAGACACUUCUCAAAACAAAACAUAUAUGUGGUCAACAAGCAUUUGAAAAAGAGCUCAAUAUCACUAAUCGUAAGAGAAAUGCAAAUCAAAACCACAAUGAGAUACCAUCUCAUAACAGUCUGAAUGGCCAUUAUUAAAAAGUCAAAAAACAACAGAUGCUGGUGAGGUUGUGGAGAAAAGGGAACACUUAUACACUGUUGGUGGGAGUAGACAUUUGUCCAACUAUUGUGAAAAGCAGUAUGGUGAUUCCUCAAAGAGCUAAAAGCAGAACUACCAGUUGACUCAACAAUUCUAUUACUGGAUAUAUACCCAGAGGAAUAUAAAUUGACCAUAUGGUGUUUCUACCAUAAAGACACAUGCAUGUGAAUGUUCAUUGCAACACUAUUCACAAUUGCAAAGACAUGGAAUUAACCUAAAUGCCUAUCAAUGACAGAUUGGAUAAAGAAAAUGUGGCACUUAUACACCAUGAAAUACUAUGCAGCCAUAAAAAAGAACAAGAUGUCUGUGGACAGAACAUGGAUGGAGCUGACAAAACAAAAAAACAAAAAAAAUUUAGCAAACUAACACGGGAACAGAAAACCAAAUACCACAUGUUCUCACUUAUAGGUGGGAGCUAAAGGAUAAGAACUUAUAAACACAAAGAAGGAAACAACAGACACUGGAGUCUCCUUGAGAGGGAGGGCGGGAGGAGAGAGGGGAACAGAAAAGCUAACUAUUUGGUACUGGGCUUAAUACCUGGAUGAUGAAAUAAUAAGUUAAACAAACCCCCGUGACAUGUGUUUACCUGUGUAACAAACCAUAUGUACCCCGAA
rnacentral:lncRNA from 1 species